rnacentral:lncRNA from 1 species
GUAAAUGUGAUGAGUGACUCCACCAGGGUGUGCAGGUUGGUUAUUCCUCCAUGGCUGAAUUCACUAUCACUGACUCUUUGAACUGUCAGCAAUCCCGUCAUCUGCUAAUUAAGGAUCUGAAGUUUCAAUUGCAACAAACGACGUCACCAUGA